UACAGAGGGCCCGAGCGUUGUUCGGAUUCAUUGGGCGUAAAGGGUGCGUAGGCGGCGGGGCAAGUCUGAUGUGAAAUCCCGGGGCUCAACCCCGGAACUGCAUUGGAUACUGCCUUGCUAGAGUACUGGAGAGGGAACUGGAAUUUACGGUGUAGCAGUGAAAUGCGUAGAGAUCGUAAGGAAGGCCAGUGGCGAAGGCGAGUUCCUGGACAGUUACUGACGCUGAGGCACGAAGGCCAGGGGAGCGAACAGG
rnacentral:rRNA from 1 species